rnacentral:rRNA from 1 species
GGACGAACGCUGGCGGCGUGCCUAACACAUGCAAGUCGAACGGGGAUUUGUUUCGGCAGAAUCCUAGUGGCGAACGGGUGAGUAACGCGUAGGCAACCUGCCCUCCGGCCGGGGGACAACACUCCGAAAGGGGUGCUAAUACCGGAUACGAAGUCUGUGCCGCAUGGUACGGAUUUGAAAGAUGGCCUCUGUUUACAAGCUAUCGCCGGGGGAUGGGCCUGCGUCCGAUUAGCUGGUUGGUGGGGUAACGGCCUACCAAGGCGACGAUCGGUAGCCGGUCUGAGAGGAUGAACGGCCACAUUGGGACUGAGACACGGCCCAGACUCCUACGGGAGGCAGCAGUGGGGAAUCUUCCGCAAUGGGCGCAAGCCUGACGGAGCAACGCCGCGUGAGUGAGGAAGUUCUUCGGAACGUAAAGCUCUGUUGUUCCUGACGAACCUCCCUUCUAUCAACAACGGAGGGGACUGACGGUAGGGAACGAGGAAGCCACGGCUAACUACGUGCCAGCCGCAGC